CAUGUUGAAACUCCAGUUCCUGUAUGAUCAUUGAAGUUAAGCAAUGUCAAGCCUGGUCAGCACCUAGAUGGGUGACUGCUUGGGAAUACCAGAUGCUGUAUG